rnacentral:rRNA from 1 species
GACGAACGCUGGCGGCGUGCUUAACACAUGCAAGUCGAACGGAGUUCCUUGGAUAGAGGCUUCGGCCAAUUGAAUUGGAACUUAGUGGCGGACUGGUGAGUAACGCGUGAGGAACCUGCCUUUCAGAGGGGGACGAACAGUUGGAAACGACUGCUAAUACCGCAUAACACAUGAUCGGGGCGAUCCCGGACAUGUCAAAGAUUUAUCGCUGAAAGAUGGCCUCGCGUCUGAUUAGCUAGUUGGUGGGGUAACGGCCUACCAAGGCGACGAUCAGUAGCCGGCCUGAGAGGGUGAACGGCCACAUUGGGACUGAGACACGGCCCAAACUCCUACGGGAGGCAGCAGUGGGGAAUAUUGCACAAUGGGGGAAACCCGUGAUGCAGCGACGCCGCGUGAGCGAUGAAGGUCUUCGGAUUGUAAACUUUAGUCGUCGGGGACGAGAACGGACGGUACCCGAGGUGAAGCCACGUCUAACUACGUG